GGCCAGCAAAUAUUAUGCCUUAAAAAAAGGCGUAAGAAGGAGAAACUGGGUUCAAAAACAUGGAUGAAAAUUCAAAUAACUUGGAAAGCAGAGAUUAAUAAAUAGAGGAAGAGUAAAGUAGGAUUUGUCCUUUUCUUCGUGACUUACACAUUUAAGUAUUAAUUAAAUUGAAGAUUUAAGUAUUUUUUAAACUGAGAGUUCAUGGGGAGAGAAAAUCCAGCUGUUGAAGACCUCCAAAGCCUGAUGCAGCUGUAGCAGCUCUGAUGUGAUAAGGAAGCUUAACAUGCAGACAAAACGCCAUUCCCUUCAGAGGAACCUCUGUAUGUUCUCCAGAUCCUUCCUAAAACCCAGCCAAGUGAAAUCGCCCUCCUGCAAGGGCUGCCAACAAUCAGCAGCGGGCUCACGUACCUGCCAAGGGUGCCACCGCGUGGACAGUCAUGUCAGUGAUGGAGAGAUAUGAAGAUUCGCAAUGCAAAAGAAGAGUAAAGCACAAAUCCUCCUGCCUCAUACUCUGCAGCUUUGCCAUUUACUUAGACUGUAGCACUCUUUUACAACACUGGAACAAUGUAAUGCAUUAGGAAAGAGAGAAGAGGGGAAAAUGAAACCAGCAACAAAGCUGUGUCACCUCCUGUGAUUACAAGAGGCAGAAGAUCAAAUAUUAUUUUUAACAGCAGCAAACUCAGGACCAGACUUGAUAGUUGCAAACUGUGGGAAGUGCUCAGCACAUCAAUGUGCAGCAACAUGCAGAAAUUAAUCCACGAAAGAGCUGCUAAGUGGGGGGUGGGGAGAACCCACCAGAGUGAUAAUGCAUCACGGAGAGCUGUCAGUCUAAAUGAAAG
rnacentral:lncRNA from 1 species